rnacentral:rRNA from 1 species
AUACGUAGGGUGCGAGCGUUGUCCGGAAUUACUGGGCGUAAAGAGCUCGUAGGUGGUUUGUCGCGUCGUCUGUGAAAUUCCGGGGCUUAACUCCGGGCGUGCAGGCGAUACGGGCAUAACUUGAGUACUGUAGGGGAGACUGGAAUUCCUGGUGUAGCGGUGAAAUGCGCAGAUAUCAGGAGGAACACCGGUGGCGAAGGCGGGUCUCUGGGCAGUAACUGACGCUGAGGAGCGAAAGCAUGGGUGGCGAACAGGAUUAGAUGCCCUGGUAGUCCAUGCCGUAAACGGUGGGCGCUAGGUGUAGGGGUCUUCCACGACUUCUGUGCCGUAGCUAACGCAUUAAGCGCCCCGCCUGGGGAGUACGGCCGCAAGGCUAAAACUCAAAGGAAUUGACGGGG